rnacentral:rRNA from 1 species
GAGUAAUAUCUGGGAAUCUACCCAAAAGAGGGGGAUAACUACUAGAAAUGGUAGCUAAUACCGCAUAAAGUUGAGAAACCAAAGUGGGGGACCUUUUAGGCCUCAUGCUUUUGGAUGAGCCCAGACGAGAUUAGCUUGUUGGUAAGGUAAAAGCUUACCAAGGCUUCGAUCUCUAGCUGGUCUGAGAGGAUAACCAGCCACACUGGAACUGAGACACGGUCCAGACUCCUACGGGAGGCAGCAGUGGGGAAUAUU